AAGAUAUUUAUGAAGGACUUCUAAUUCUUAUUAAGCUUAGGCUAUAUCUUA
rnacentral:tRNA from 1 species